ensembl:lncRNA
CAGCGAUUGGUCAGACCAUAAAUAAUAUAGAAGACAGCGCGCUAGCGUAGCUAGUCUAUGUAUAUUUAUGGUCUGCACGUCUGGUUGCAUCUCUGGCUGCUGGUGACCUUGUUUUCGGAGUAAAACACGUGGUUCAUCUGAACCUCUGGGGAUGUCCUGUGGAUCCUGUGGAUCCUGUGGGUUGCAGGGUGGAUCCUACCUAGACCAGGCUGAUCCUGGACCAUCCCACAGAUGCUCCAUCAGAUGUGGAUGUGGAGAAUGUGGAACCCAGAUGUUCAGAGGGAGAUGAUGCCACAUCUGGUCCAGCUGAUGGAAGGUCUUGAAGUUCUCUGACUGACCUCGACUGAAGAUGGUCGUCUCACUGGAUUUAAGGUUCAGAUGCUCAGUAACAAACUCCACCAAUGAGCCAACAGAUGCACAAUGAGGGACGUCUGCAGAGACUGAGAAAGAGUCUCACCACAUCCUGACAUGAGGAAAAAGACUUUAUUGAAGACUACAAUGAGAAAAACUAUCAGACAGCAGACGGCUGCAUUCAAGUCUGUAGCUGCUGAAUUCAUGGAUGAAUCAUCUGGCACUAGAGAAGAAGACCAUCAAACAUCCACGUCAGCUGAUGGAGGUCCAAGAGUCUCACUGAACAACCAACCUACAGAGUGAAGACCUCAAAUCUGAUUGGACGGCCUCCUAUUCAGCCACAUCUGUUAACAGUUUAGGCUGUUAGAUUGUUCCAGAUAAGACAAGUACAAGAUUCUUCAGAGCCGUUCUACCACGAGCCUGACAGGAAGAACUCCAACAGCUACUGAAUGUUCCUGUGGUUCCCUCAAGGCUACAGGAGGAGUCCUACGAGGACGAGCCGGUCCACCUGAUGGCGGCCAGUCGCUGCGGUUCAAAGCCAACACCGACUACGUGGACUUCUACUGGACCACAUGGAGGCCUUCAAACCGGACCAACAAGUUCAGCGACUCCCCGACUCGUGGGUCUGAGGACACCGCCGAGCCUCGGUCCAGCCGGCCUCCUGUCUGUGGGUGUUUGAGUGCUGAGAGGUUUGUGGAUGCACGUGAACGUUCUGUGUUGAAACAGCAGCUUUGGACUCAGUAACGCCAGGAAAAACCAAGAGCUCCUUUAUUUGUGACUUCCACUAAAAAACUGAUGAAAAUAACUUUGCCAAGGUUCUGAC